GACGAACGCUGGCGGCGUGCUUAACACAUGCAAGUCGAACGGAAAGGCCCUGCUUUUGUGGGGUGCUCGAGUGGCGAACGGGUGAGUAACACGUGAGUAACCUGCCCUUGACUUUGGGAUAACUUCAGGAAACUGGGGCUAAUACCGGAUAGGAGCUCCUGCUGCAUGGUGGGGGUUGGAAAGUUUCGGCGGUUGGGGAUGGACUCGCGGCUUAUCAGCUUGUUGGUGGGGUAGUGGCUUACCAAGGCUUUGACGGGUAGCCGACCUGAGAGGGUGACCGGCCACAUUGGGACUGAGAUACGGCCCAGACUCCUACGGGAGGCAGCAGUGGGGAAUAUUGCACAAUGGGCGGAAGCCUGAUGCAGCAACGCCGCGUGCGGGAUGACGGCCUUCGGGUUGUAAACCGCUUUCGCCUGUGACGAAGCGUGAGUGACGGUAAUGGGUAAAGAAGCACCGGCUAACUACGUGCCAGCAGCCGCGGUGAUACGUAGGGUGCGAGCGUUGUCCGGAUUUAUUGGGCGUAAAGGGCUCGUAGGUGGUUGAUCGCGUCGGAAGUGUAAUCUUGGGGCUUAACCCUGAGCGUGCUUUCGAUACGGGUUGACUUGAGGAAGGUAGGGGAGAAUGGAAUUCCUGGUGGAGCGGUGGAAUGCGCAGAUAUCAGGAGGAACACCAGUGGCGAAGGCGGUUCUCUGGGCCUUUCCUGACGCUGAGGAGCGAAAGCGUGGGGAGCGAACAGGCUUAGAUACCCUGGUAGUCCACGCUGUAAACGGUGGGUACUAGGUGUGGGGUCCAUUCCACGGGUUCCGUGCCGUAGCUAACGCUUUAAGUACCCCGCCUGGGGAGUACGGCCGCAAGGCUAAAACUCAAAGGAAUUGACGGGGCCCCGCACAAGCGGCGGAGCAUGCGGAUUAAUUCGAUGCAACGCGUAGAACCUUACCUGGGUUUGACAUGGAUCGGGAGCGCUCAGAGAUGGGUGUGCCUCUUUUGGGGUCGGUUCACAGGUGGUGCAUGGCUGUCGUCAGCUCGUGUCGUGAGAUGUUGGGUUAAGUCCCGCAACGAGCGCAACCCUUGUUCACUGUUGCCAGCACGUUAUGGUGGGGACUCAGUGGAGACCGCCGGGGUCAACUCGGAGGAAGGUGGGGAUGACGUCAAGUCAUCAUGCCCCUUAUGUCCAGGGCUUCACGCAUGCUACAAUGGCUGGUACAGAGAGUGGCGAGCCUGUGAGGGUGAGCGAAUCUCGGAAAGCCGGUCUCAGUUCGGAUUGGGGUCUGCAACUCGACCUCAUGAAGUCGGAGUCGCUAGUAAUCGCAGAUCAGCAACGCUGCGGUGAAUACGUUCCCGGGGCU
rnacentral:rRNA from 1 species